rnacentral:rRNA from 1 species
UACAGAGGGUGCGAGCGUUAAUCGGAAUUACUGGGCGUAAAGCGUGCGUAGACGGUUUCGUAAGUCAGGCGUGAAAGCCCCGGGCUCAACCUGGGAAUUGCGCUUGAUACUGCGGCGCUGGAAGGUGGGAGAGGAUGGCGGAAUUCCCAGUGUAGAGGUGAAAUUCGUAGAUAUUGGGAAGAACACCGGUGGCGAAGGCGGCCAUCUGGCCCACAAUUGACGGCUGACGGCGCGAAAGCGUGGGGAGCAAACAGGG